UACGGGGGGAGCAAGCGUUGUUCGGAUUUACUGGGCGUAAAGGGCGCGCAGGCGGCUUGGCAAGUCGAGUGUGAAAUCCCUUAGCUUAACUAAGGAAUAGCGCUCGAAACUACCUCGCUAGAGGACGGGAGAGGGAAGUGGAACUCUCGGUGUAGGGGUGAAGUCUGUAGAUAUCGAGAGGAACACCGGUGGCGAAGGCGGCCACCUGGUCCGGUACUGACGCUGAAGCGCGAAGCGUGG
rnacentral:rRNA from 1 species